UCCGGUUUAGACCGGCAGUCUCCUUAGAGAAUUCAACUAAGGACGGGGGUUGCGCUCGUUGCGCCACUUAAGGCAACACCUCACGGCACGAGCUGACGACAGCCAUGCACCACCUGUGCAGGCUCCGAAGAGCACCCGCUUUCACGGGUUUCACCCUGCAUGUCAAGCCCAGGUAAGGUUCUUCGCGUUGCAUCGAAUUAAACCACACGCUCCGCUGCUUGUGCGGGCCCCCGUCAAUUCCUUUGAGCUUUAACCUUGCGGCCGUACUCCCCAGGCGGUCGACUUCACGCGUUAGCUUCGUUACUGAGAGUGUCAAACCCCCAACAACCAGUCGACAUCGUUUAGGGCGUGGACUAC
rnacentral:misc_RNA from 1 species